rnacentral:rRNA from 1 species
CAGCUUGCUGCGGGUACUCGAGUGGCGAACGGGUGAGUAACACGUGGGUGAUCUGCCUUGCACUUCGGGAUAAGCUUGGGAAACUGGGUCUAAUACCGGAUAGGACAGCUGUUUAGUGUCAGUUGUGGAAAGUUUUUUCGGUGCAAGAUGAGCUCGCGGCCUAUCAGCUUGUUGGUGGGGUAAUGGCCUACCAAGGCGUCGACGGGUAGCCGGCCUGAGAGGGUGUACGGCCACAUUGGGACUGAGAUACGGCCCAGACUCCUACGGGAGGCAGCAGUGGGGAAUAUUGCACAAUGGGCGGAAGCCUGAUGCAGCGACGCCGCGUGGGGGAUGAAGGCCUUCGGGUUGUAAACUCCUUUCGACAGGGACGAAGCGUAAGUGACGGUACCUGUAUAAGAAGCACCGGCUAACUACGUGCCAGCAGCCGCGGUAAUACGUAGGGUGCGAGCGUUGUCCGGAAUUACUGGGCGUAAAGAGCUCGUAGGUGGUUUGUCGCGUCGUCUGUGAAAUUCCGGGGCUUAACUCCGGGCGUGCAGGCGAUACGGGCUGACUUGAGUGCUGUAGGGGAGACUGGAAUUCCUGGUGUACGGUGAAAUGCGCAGAUAUCAGGAGGAACACCGAUGGCGAAGGCAGGUCUCUGGGCAGUAACUGACGCUGAGGAGCGAAAGCAUGGGUAGCGAACAGGAUUAGAUACCCUGGUAGUCCAUGCCGUAAACGGUGGGCGCUAGGUGUAGGGGGCUUCCACGUCUUCUGUGCCGUAGCUAACGCAUUAAGCGCCCCGCCUGGGGAGUACGCCGCA